rnacentral:lncRNA from 1 species
UUGUGUAACAGAAAGAACGUCUGAUAGGGUCAGUCGAAAGUUGAAAACCUGGUUAACCACAAACUUUGCUGAGCCUUGUUGAAUGCGAUCAUUUGCUACAAAGUGUUAGGGGUCUUGGUUUAAAAAGGGCGAGGUGCUCCUAAACUGAGAGAAUGCCAAUAGUACAAAUUACAAAAGCUUCCAAGCCUAAAAUUUGGACCAUGCAAGCACUGCAAACUACCAGUUAGUUUUCAACACAAAAAGGUUCCAAUAGAUGGUUUAUUUAAUAUAGUUCGGGAAAUUUUGUAUUGAUCAUAAAUUAUCCCUGUUUGUACAAAACUUCGUAUUCAUCCUUCUAUCCACUAUCUGCUUUUUCUAAUGAUAGUCUUUUUGAAUUUGUCCUUCAACUCUGUUAUGGACAUCACCCUACAAGAACUUCCGUUCUGUGGUUGAACGAUUAUUAACCAACUCAAGACUUUUGAUGACUGAGUUGACCACGUUUAACUCAGUUUUGACCCGUCUCCAAAUUGUUUCGUAGUCCCUUUAGCAGCUUCCAACACCACCACAUGUCACCUUGUUUCGAGGCAUCUCCGUCGCCAGUGGUCACCAUCGCAGACCACCACCAUAACCUUCAACAACCACAAGUUCAUGCCCCAAAUCAUCAAAUGAGAAGAUUAUAAACAUAAAACACACGCUGAUACAUAAUACAUGUAAUUAAGUUCCCAAGGUUAAGAUUAUACCCAAAUAAAGUUCACCAAAGAAUCCACUCCUAAUUUUCCUUCUAAACCUAAAGUUCCCAUGAACAAUAAAAUACAAAUCAGUAUAGGUUCAAUAACUAAAACAAAUUAAUUGCAAGAAAAUCAAACAGAUAGCAAGGUAAUUACUCAAUAUGCAUAACCCAAACUAAUUUC